rnacentral:ncRNA from 2 species
GUUAGCUCUCUCCUCGAUGGUUUCAAGGCGCAUGCCUUGUAAAAGGGAAUACGGUGCGGCGCGCUUCACAGCUGCCAAUUCCGUAACUGCCCCCGCAACUGUAAGCGGCGAGCAACUCUGAAUAGCCACUGGGCCCACCACUUGGGAAGGCCUGGGAAGGAUCAGAGACGCGACGACCCGUAAGUCAGGAUACCUGCCAUCAUUGUUGUAACCAA